rnacentral:rRNA from 1 species
CCUACGGGUGGCAGCAGUGAGGAAUUUUGGUCAAUGCCCGGAAGGCUGAACCAGCCAAGUCGCGUGAGGGACGACUGCCCUAUGGGUUGUACACCUCUUUUAUAAGGGAAGAAUAAAUUCUACGUGUAGCAUGAUGACUGUACCUUAUGAAUAAGCAUAGGCUAACUCAGUUCCAGCAGCCGCGGUAAUACGGUGGAUGCGAGCGUUAUCCGGAUUUAUUGGGUUUAAAGGGUGGGUAGGCGGUUUUUUAAGUUAGUGGUUAAACGUCGGGGUUUCACCUUGAUUUGCCAUUAAUACUGUAAGACUCGAGUUCAGACGAGGUAGGCGGAAUAAGUGAAGUAGCGGUGAAAUGCUUAGAUAUAACUUAGAACUCCGAUAGCGAAGGCAGCUUACCAGACUGCGACUGACGCUGAAGCACGAGAGCGUGGGUAGCGAACAGGAUUAGAUACCCCGGUAGUC